ensembl:snRNA U6 U6 spliceosomal RNA
GUGGUUGCCUUGGCAGUGCAUAUAGUACUAAAAUUAGAAUAUACAGAAAAGAUUACCAUAGCCCCUGUGCAAAUUUCUGAAGUGUUCCAUAUUUUU